rnacentral:rRNA from 1 species
GUGUCAGCAGCCGCGGUAAUACGGAGGGGGCUAGCGUUGUUCGGAAUUACUGGGCGUAAAGCGCGCGUAGGCGGCUUUGUAAGUUAGAGGUGAAAGCCCGGAGCUUAACUCCGGAACUGCCUUUAAGACUGCAUCGCUAGAAUUGUGGAGAGGUGAGUGGAAUUCCGAGUGUAGAGGUGAAAUUCGUAGAUAUUCGGAAGAACACCAGUGGCGAAGGCGACUCACUGGACACAUAUUGACGCUGAGGUGCGAAAGCGUGGGGAGCAAACAGGAUUAGAAACCCCCGUAGUCC